rnacentral:rRNA from 1 species
GAUGAACGCUGGCGGCGUGCCUAACACAUGCAAGUCGAGCGAUUUACUUCGGUAAAGAGCGGCGGACGGGUGAGUAACGCGUGGGUAACCUGCCCUGUACACACGGAUAACAUACCGAAAGGUAUGCUAAUACGAGAUAAUAUGCUUUUAUCGCAUGGUAGAAGUAUCAAAGCUUUUGCGGUACAGGAUGGACCCGCGUCUGAUUAGCUAGUUGGUGAGGUAACGGCUCACCAAGGCGACGAUCAGUAGCCGACCUGAGAGGGUGAUCGGCCACAUUGGAACUGAGACACGGUCCAAACUCCUACGGGAGGCUG